CCUACGGGCGGCAGCAGUGAGGAAUAUUGGUCAAUGGACGCAAGUCUGAACCAGCCAUGCCGCGUGCAGGAAGACGGCUCUAUGAGUUGUAAACUGCUUUUGUACGAGGGUAAAGGCAGAUACGCGUAUCUGUCUGAAAGUAUCGUACGAAUAAGGAUCGGCUAACUCCGUGGCAGCCGCCGCGGUAAUACGGAGGAAUCAAGCGUUUUCCGGAUUUAUUGGGGUUAAAGGGUGCGUAGGCGGGCGGGUAAGUUAGAGGUGAAAACCCGAGGCUCAACUUCGGAAUUGCCUCUGAUACUGUUCUGCUAGAGAGUAGUUGCAGUAGGCGGAAUGUAUGGUGUAGCGGUGAAAUGCUUAGAGAUCAUACAGAACACCGAUUGCGAAGGCAGCUUACCAAGCUACUUCUGACGUUGAGGCACGAAAGCGUGGGGAGCAAACAGGAUUAGAUACCCUGGUAGUC
rnacentral:rRNA from 1 species